rnacentral:rRNA from 1 species
UUUAUUUUAGCGGCGGACGGGUGAGUAACGUGUGGGUAACCUGCUUUUACUGGGGAAUAAUCACUGGAAACGGUGACUAAUACCGCAUACGGUUCUUGGAAGGCAUCUUCUAGGAAAGAAAGGAUUUAUUCGGUAAAAAGAUGGGCCCGCAUCUGAUUAGCUAGUUGGUGAGAUAACANCCCACCAAGGCGACGAUCAGUAGCCGACCUGAGAGGGUGACCGGCCACAUUGGGACUGAGACACGGCCCAAACUCCUACGGGAGGCAGCAG